rnacentral:rRNA from 1 species
UACGAAGGGUGCAGGCGUUACUCGGAAUUACUGGGCGUAAAGCGUGCGUAGGUGGUUUUUUAAGUCCGUUGUGAAAGCCCUGGGCUCAACCUGGGAAUGGCAGUGGAUACUGGAAAGCUAGAGUGCGGUAGAGGGUAGUGGAAUUCCCGGUGUAGCAGUGAAAUGCGUAGAGAUCGGGAGGAACACCAGUGGCGAAGGCGGCUACCUGGGACGGUACUGACGCUGAGACGCGAAAGCGUGGGGAGCGAACAGG